UUCCAGAACGUUCGAGGUGACGAAAUAUUCUCUCUGGAGAAGAAAGAGAUGGAAAAAGAAUUGGGUAAUGAAGAAGGCCUACGUCUAUUCAAUCAGAUCAUUAUACAAAAGAAUAUUUGCGGGUUUAAGACUCUUCGAUCAAAAGAGCUGAGUUCCGUCCUGGAGGCGAGGAGAAAAAAAAUAGAUCCCGAUGAUGACAUGAGUGACAGGAGAGAUUCAAGCGACAGUGUUGCCACCAUAUCAGAUCCUUCGAACUGGUUCUAAAGAGAUAUUAUUUUAAAAUAUGAAGAACAUGCAAAGGAGAUUGUGAUUAGGUUAUGAAAAUUGAAAUUGUAAUUCUUUGUGGAAUAAAUAAUUAAAAACA